GUGCUCACUUUGGCAGCACAUACACUAAAAUUGGAAUGAUACAGAGACGAUUACAUGACCCCUGUGCAAGGAUGACAAUAAAAAAAUAACAAUAAUGAUUCAUU
rnacentral:snRNA from 1 species